rnacentral:rRNA from 1 species
UACGUAGGCAGCGAGCGUUGUUCGGAGUUACUGGGCGUAAAGGGUGUGUAGGCGGUUGUUUAAGUUUGGUGUGAAAUCUCCCAGCUCAACUGGGAGGGUGCGCCGAAUACUGAAUGACUUCGAGUGCGGGAGAGGAGAGUGGAAUUCCUGGUGUAGCGGUGAAAUGCGUAGAUAUCAGGAGGAACACCGGUGGUGUAGACGGCUCUCUGGACCGUAACUGACGCUGAGACACGAAAGCGUGGGUAGCAAACAGG